UGCUGGGAUUUGAACUCAGGACCUCUGGAAGAGCAGUCAGUGGUCUUAACUGCUGAGCCAUCUCUCCAGCCCCCUUUCAAUGAAUUUUCUAACCUAAAGUUCAAAUUUUUUUUGACAGCCUUUCCACAAAACAAUUCCAAAGGCCUAAAGGCCACAUGCUUAGAUUUAUCGCAGCAGCACCUGUUACUGGGAUUCCCUGACAGAGCACUCAUGUGUUUCCCAGGUCCAGGUUAUAGUCUAUCACAGCAGGGAAGUCCCUCCAGUUGGAAGGCGUUUGAGAACUGGUCACGUUCCAGUCACAGUCAAGAAGCAGACAGCAGUGAACGCAUCCUUCUGCUCAGUUCCUUCCCUACAUCCAUCCAGUCCAGGAUGCGGGACAGUUUUAUGUCAGCUUGGCACAGGCUAGAGUCGUCUGAAAAGAGAGACCCUCAGUUGAGAAAAAGUCUCCAUAUGAUGCUGCUUAGGGCAUUUUCUUAGUGACUGAAGGGGGAGGUCCCAGUCCACUGUGGGUAGUGCUAUCCCUGGGCUGCUGAGCCUAUAUUCUAUAACAAACCAGACUAAGCAAGCCAGUAAGAAGCACCCUCCAUAACCUCUGUAUCAGCUCCUGUGUCCAGGUUCCUACCUUGUUUGAGUUCCUUUCCUGACUUCCUUUGAUGGUGGACCAUGAUGUGGAACUGUAAGCCAAUAAACCUUUCCUCCUCCUCCCUUCUGAUCAUGUUUCAUCAUUGCAAAUAGUGUCUCUAAGACGCUAGCCAUCACAUGCCCAUAGAACAAAUCAGGGAAUCGCCAGCUGUGCCAUGGUACAUCCUUUAAUCCCAGUACUCUGGAGGCAGAAACAGGCAGAUUUCUGUGAGUUGGAUGUCAGCCUGGUUUAUAGAAUGAAUUCCAAGGCAGCCAGGGCUCCAAAGAGAAACACUGUCUACAAAACAAACAAACAAACAAACAAAAGAGGACUUCAUCUUCAGAUGACUGUAAAUUACAUCAUGUUGACAAUUAAAACUAAGCCUUAUAGCCCCGACUGGGAAUGGGCCAGUGCUGGGAUAGUUUACUGCUGACCAUAUGGGCAAUCAGAUAUGGGGUAGCCACAUUGCUGCUAAAAAUAAUAACGCACAUGUGGCUGUUCCAGGUCCUGCGCUCCAAGCCUUGCCUAUGCUGCAGACAUUUUUCCUUUAUUCCUUUCACCCUUCCUCCGUCUUUCUAGAUGACCCAGAGGUAAUGGGAAGGCUCUAACUGUGGUGCAUUGCAAAUGCUGACUCAGUUUCCUUCGUGGUCCAACACCUACCUGUUGGCUUCAUGUGCUGACCCAGCCAGACUACUUCUGGCUGACUAUGCUCCCUACUCCCCUAACACUAUGAUUUGUCUACUUCUGCCUUAUACUGCAAGUGCUAACUCUUCCCUGUCUAAUUACAGUAGGCAGUGCCAUCCCUGAGGGUCUGUAGAUAAAGCCUCAGCUAACAAGAUAUUCCUUGGGCAUUAGUUCCAAAGGGGAGAAAAAACCCACCCAUUUGGACUUUUAACUUAAUCAUGAUUUAAAACAAUUAUUACUAUUCACACAAACAUGUCUUUUUCUGAAUUUAGCAGCUUACUAAUUCAGGAUUCAAUUAUGUAAAUUAUUUAUUGUUUGCUUAUUUAUUUACUUAUUUAUGGAGAUUCUUAGGAAAGGAACCUUUUUCCGCUGUGAUAAAAACAGACUCAGAGAGGGGUGGUGGUUCAUACCUUUACUCCCAGCACUUGGGAAGCAGAGGCAGGUGAAUCUCUGAGAGUUCAAGGUCAGCCUGGUCUACAGAGUGAGUUCCAGAACAACCAGGUCUACACAGAGAAACAUUGUCUUGAAAAAAAUCAAAACCAUAAACCCCCAGAAUUCUCAGAUAUGCUUAUAGCAGAGAACAACUUUUAAUUUUGUGACUGAAUCCUGGGAGAGGGACAAUGGAGGUCACUGGCUUAAACCGCAUUGGGUAAAGAGUGAUCCUAGGAACAUGUGCAAUACAAACUAGAGCUUCGGAUUUGCCUACGGCUGUUCUCUGCCAUCCUAGAGGAUGCUUGGGGAUGCGAGGACAGGCUGGCUGAUUCCUGUUUGGGGAUGGAGAUGGCUCUGUGGGUAAAAGCACUUGUUGCCUUGCAGACCAGGUUCAGUCUACACUCAGUUUUCAGCACCCACAUAUAUGAAGGAUCUGACUUUCUCUUCUCACCCCUGAGGAUGCUAGGCAUAAAUGUGCCGCACAGAGAGUUCUGAGCCACCACUGCUCAGCUACAAAAACAAAACAACAUAAAACAACUGAAGAAAAGAAGAGGAGGAGGGAGAGAAAGAGGAAGAAGAGAAGGACAGUAAUGAAGAUAGGAUGAAGAACAGCUCUUUGUCACCUUUUGGACUCCAAUGCAUGCUCAGUGAAUUGGAAUAAUGUUGAUCUUUGGAAAUAUUUAACACAUGCCUGCUUGCAUGGGUGUAUGCAUGUGUGCAUGUAUGUGUGCGUGUGAGUGUGUGUUGUAGUGUAUGUGUUUAUGCACAUGAGCAGAUAGAGCCCAGAGGUAGAUGUCGGGUAAGUUUCCCACUAUUACUGCCAUCUUAUUUUUUUGCAACAGGGUCACUCAGUGAAUCAGGAUGUCACCAGACAGCUGGUUAGCAAGCUGCAGUAACCUGCCUGUCUCUGUGAGAAGUGGGCAUCAGAUCCCCUGGAAUGGAAUCACAGAUGGCUGUGAGCUACCUUGUUCUGGGAAUCACAUCCAUCUGGUCAAAUAUUAGAAGGAAUAUUAGAAAAAUUUCCUGUUGCUUUGGAAGUUAAAUGCACACAACACACACACACACACACACACACACACUAUGUAGAUGAUUUACUACUGUCAGUGGAACAAGAGAAUAAAAUUAUGAGCUCAACAGUU